rnacentral:rRNA from 1 species
UACGAAGGGGGCUAGCGUUGCUCGGAAUCACUGGGCGUAAAGCGCACGUAGGCGGCUUUUUAAGUCAGGGGUGAAACCCUGGAGCUCAACUCCAGAACUGCCUUUGAUACUGGGAAGCUUGAGUCCGGGAGAGGUGAGUGGAACUCCGAGUGUAGAGGUGAAAUUCGUAGAUAUUCGGAAGAACACCAGUGGCGAAGGCGGCUCACUGGCCCGGUACUGACGCUGAGGUGCGAAAGCGUGGGGAGCAAACAGG